ACUCCUGGGCUCGGGCAAGGACCCGGGCUCGAAAUGGGAAGGGCCAUUCUAGCAUUAGGAAGUUUGGUCGCCCUCGUCAGAAAUGCUCAGGCUAGCAUCUGCCCUGCUGAGAACCUGAUGGCCCUGGGCCCGGGACACACCGUGGACUGGAAUGUGAGGGAACAGGGUUCUCCAGCACCCCUUUCUUCCCGGUGACAAACAGACACAACAGAAGCUCACUGCCAGGAACCAGGAAAGGGAGUCCAUUAUUGCUGAAAAUCCAUUUUAAGGUGUCGUCCCCCUCUUCCCCAGAGAAAUGACUAGACAAAACCAGUAAAGCCUCCAGUGCUGCCCC